rnacentral:rRNA from 1 species
UACGAAGGGGGCUAGCGUUGCUCGGAAUCACUGGGCGUAAAGGGCGCGUAGGCGGCCAUUUAAGUCGGGGGUGAAAGCCUGUGGCUCAACCACAGAAUUGCCUUCGAUACUGGAUGGCUUGAGACCGGAAGAGGUAAGUGGAACUGCGAGUGUAGAGGUGAAAUUCGUAGAUAUUCGCAAGAACACCAGUGGCGAAGGCGACUUACUGGACACAUAUUGACGCUGAGGUGCGAAAGCGUGGGGAGCAAACAGG